UGGUGGAGUGAUUUGUCUGGUUAAUUCCGUUAACGAACGAGACCUCAGCCUCUAAUUAGUCUAGGCAAUUUUUAAUUGUUAUAGACUUCUUAGGGGGACGUAUCGGUUUCCUAGCCGAUGGAAGUAUGAGGCAAUAACA
rnacentral:rRNA from 1 species